rnacentral:rRNA from 1 species
GACGAACGCUGGCGGCGUGCUUAACACAUGCAAGUCGAACGGAAAGGCCCUGCUUUUGUGGGGUGCUCGAGUGGCGAACGGGUGAGUAACACGUGAGUAACCUGCCCUUGACUUUGGGAUAACUUCAGGAAACUGGGGCUAAUACCGGAUAGGAGCUCCUGCUGCAUGGUGGGGGUUGGAAAGUUUCGGCGGUUGGGGCUGGACUCGCGGCUUAUCAGCUUGUUGGUGGGGUAGUGGCUUACCAAGGCUUUGACGGGUAGCCGGCCUGAGAGGGUGACCGGCCACAUUGGGACUGAGAUACGGCCCAGACUCCUACGGGGGGCAGCAGUGGGGAGUAUUCCACAAUGGGCGGACGCCUGAUGCAGCAACGCUGCGUGCGGGAUGCCGGCCUUCGGGUUGUAACCCGCUUUCGCCUGUGACGAAGCGUGAGUGACGGUAAUGGGUAAAGAAGCACCGGCUAACUACGUG